rnacentral:rRNA from 1 species
UCUAUUAUAAGGGUGGUGCGCAGAGGAGGUGGUAACCUAUAAGUGACGUGCAAAGUAGUACAAUAAAGAAAGGGUACACGUACUGGCCACCCGGCGAAGGAGCCACCUCAGACAGUACAUAACCGACCCAAGUAGCCACACUCCCAGAUUAACCAACUCGGAGGACCUUUCGGGUAACCGGGGGGUUAGGGGUGUCGGCGGGCGGGCGUGGAGAGGAGGAGGCCAGGAGGGAGCAGAGUCGGCGGUGGGGGUGCUUGGGAUCGGCGUGGGAGGACGUAGACAGGAGGAGGGGGAAGGACCAGGCGGGGUUCGGGGAGGAGCAGAGUACUCGAUCGGCUCCUUUUCGCCCCACCGCGCUGCGGGACCAGCAGCCGGCCGCCCCUCGGACGCAUCUCCGCCACCGCCUCUGCUGGGAUCUACCCGGUUCUAGACCUGUCCCGCGGAGUUGGAGCGGAAGGAGAAGGUGGAUGAGCGACUAUCUCUCUGUCGUCGUCGCCACCCUCCUCGGACCCGCAUCUCCUCUCUUCACCUGCUCCCCCCACGUUUCGGUCCUCUACCCCCAGCGGUCUACUCGUGUCGGCGUGUCCCGGACUAGGGCGGCGACGGUCUCGUCUCACCUCCUGGUGUGCCCGGACUUCCCCACCGGCCCUCGCGUGCCGUAGGCCGAGGGUUCGUCCCUUACAUCGCCACAACCGGAGAGGAGAGGGGCGCGGAGACAGGACGCAGCAGUGAUGGCGGUGCCGGAACGAGCGGUAACUGGAGGGGUUCACGAAGAGAGGUGUUUACCACGGCGGUACAUGUCUAGUUAAGUUCGCGGUCCUUUCAUGUUGUGCACGUGCAUUGAACAAACUCCUUUAAGGUAGACCUUCGUUAUAAACUAGUACUGAACACAAGAACUACGAAGUAGACGCCGAUCGACUGAUGUUGUCGUGUAUACAUUUCCCUUUGGUAGCAUUCUUUGUGUCUAGUCGAGAAGUAAGAAAGUUCGCGAUACAACGAAUGAGUUUACAAACACCGCUAACAUAGGAACACGGUACUUAUAAACAUGAAUCGUCUAGUUAUAUUUGUAUAACCGAUAAAUGGUUAAGUCUUAAAUUUCGUGAAAUAAAAUACCGGAACUCAUUUUCAAGUCAGCAACAACCGACCUUCUGUAGAAGUUAUGCGGCAGUUGUGCUCGAAGGGUUCUUUCUUCUAAAACACCUACUACAUUCUAUAGGUGUACAACAUAUACACCUUUUUGGUUUCCGAGUCCUACAACUAAAAAGCCUACUUUACUAAAUAGUCCUUUUUUGAUGUUCACUUUACCUUCUUCAUUGCGAGUUUUCGGACUUAUCUUAAGGAACCCUUUCCCAUCUACAAUCGAAGUUCUCUUCAUCUGUUACCUAAAAACGGGUAUCGUGGUAAGUCCAGGUCAACAGCAACGGAAGUGAACGAAACAGCAAAUGGCUAGACAGUCGAGCGGCCAAGGGACUGAACGACAGUUCAACUCUAGCUCCUCUCUCGUUCGGCAACGUCUCCUCUCCCCUAUGUUCCCACCCGCCUCCAGUCCGUAACAAUUGUCUAAACGCCGUCUCACCCUCUCCACUGCGGCCGGCCGGCCGCGGAGUGGUGGCCGAGGACAAACCGCCAGCGUUUCUCUUCCCACGGCUCCUACACAACGAGAUACGUACCGACAGCUUCAUGUAGUAGCAAUACUACACAUACCAAAGAGAUAAAAGUCGGGAUGACGAGGACUCGGGUUUAGGGUACUGGUACGGGGGUGGAGAGGAAGCAACUUACCUCAGACCAACGAUUUUUCACUCAAAAGAAUUAGUCAUACAUACCGGGGAGACGUGUACGGCAAAGAAGCAUAAAUUCUCCGGGAGUUCGAAACAGUCAAAAGACUAUCUAUACCUUAAAAUUAAACUAUCAGGGUUGUUGUCACCCAUGACUACCUCGAUAGAUAAUAAAUAACAGUUAGACAUUAUGAAAACAGUCGAAGAUCGUACGGCAACGAGAUGGUCUCACGUUAAAAGAGACGUACCGUAUGUGGUCAAUGGUAAUCAACUAUACAAACAACUUCAAAAUAACGUUCAAUUUAUUUACACAUCACACCGUAUGACUAAUAAUAUCAAACUAUUACAGUCCGCGGCUACCGAAAUCUAUACAUUUAUUUUAUGGAAAUUCAUUUUGAUUCGUAAAUUAAUAACAAGACAAUACAAUAACUAAAGUGGCCGAAAUACAGCCGGCUAAUCAAGACUUCCUAAGGUGUAGCCGAUUAAAUCUAAUACAAUGAUCUCAUAAUCUUCUUCAAGGACUAUAUACAUAAAUUUCGUAAACGACUCUAAACUACGUUUUAUAACUACUGGUCCGUAAUAUGACGCGUAUUCGUGUUAAAAAAUCAAAAAGAAAAAUAACAACGUUGUCGAAAAGAUAUCGUUAUCGGUUUAUCACACUGUAUUGUGAUAAGGUAAAAGUGUCCGGUAUUGUGUAGAAAUGUACAUUCAAACAAGAGAUCUAUCAAGAGAAAGGUUCUAAAAGUAUAGUAUAAACAGCACCCUAGACUGACGAAAUGGUAUAAAAGGACCACACCUGCUACAAUAUCUCACUCGAUGGUAGUGAAGAGUAAUGACUGACAGUUAUAUAUACACAAAUACGGUAUUUUCUACCUAUAAACAGCUUCGGUAACAGCACAGUACAUUAAUGAACGUCUAGUUGAUAUAUCAAAACAAGCCUAACAUUUCACCUUUGCUAUUUUGGGAUGUUGAGGACACACUAACAGUAAACUAAUAAAUGAAAGUUCAUCAUACCUAUACCACGACGGUCCUAUAAUUCAUGUAAGUACUUCAACAUAUUUGGUGCAAGAUGCUAAGUGAAGACAAUACGUAUAAAUGAAAGGUCAAAAUCCUGACUUUAGGUAGGUAACAUUACUUAAACCAACAUACCCGUAAUGGAUAAACUGAAUCCGAACGAAGUAGUGUAUAUCUGACGAAAAGAAAAGGGGUGACGAACAUACCGG